GAACAAUGGGUAACCAAAUGAGUGUUCCCCGAAGAGCUGAAGCCCAAGAGAAUGACCCGGAAGCAGACACGCACAAGGUCACAUCUGGGGAUGCGUGUGGUCAAAACGGCCUGCCGGCCAUCAUAUCUGGCAGCACCGUUCAACUCUACGAUGAAGUCGAUCUGGGAGUCAGCAUCCAGGAGGAUAAUGUGGCCGCUUCUUCCCCCGAGACAAUGGAGACCGGCGCGGCUGCAGAGGCCAACGGCGAGAGUCUUGGGAAGGAGGCCAAACCCCAGGCACCAGCUGCUAAAUCUCGCUUUUUCUUGACGCUCUCUCGGCCUGUACCAGGGCGUACCGGAGACCAAGCCACGGAUUCAUCCAGUAGGUCCGUGAGGCUUGAUGUCAGCUCCGAUAAAGCUCCAGGAAACAAAGACCCGAGUGAGCCCAUGGCCCUUCCGGUGGCAGCUGCACCCGGGCAUGGCCCGGAUAAAACCCCCGGGCAGACCCCGGCCCAGGCGGAGGGCCUCCCUGCCACCCCUGGGCCGGAGCACCCUCCGUCUGAGUCUGGGGCAGCAGCCCCCGCCAAGCCCAAGGACUCCAGCUUCUUUGACAAACUCUUCAAGCUGGACAAGGGACGGGACAGAGCCCCCGUGGACCUCCCACAGGAGGCUGAGAGCACAGAGCACCCUCACUCGGCCGCCGAAACUCCUGGGUUACCCACGCAGUCCGAGGAUGGCCCUGCAGAGAGGGACUUAGUUGACGGCAAGGGAAAGGGAGGACAGGAAGUCCCAGCUGUGAGCCGCUCCGUCCCCGGGGACCCUGAGCAACUGGAGAUUGCAAAGGAGGACGCCCAGGCAGAGAACAGUUCCAUCAUGAGCUUCUUUAAAACCCUGGUUUCGCCUAACAAAGCUGAAACAAAAAAAGAUACGGAAGACACGGGAGAGGAAAAGUCAGCCGCCUCUUCAGCCAACCUCAAGUUAGACAAAGCCAACAUUACGCUCCAGGAGCCCCAGGGGGCCGCCAAGAAUUCGACAGCCACUGAAACAGCAAAGGAUGGUGCCAAGGAAAAAGGGGGCCCCAGCUCUCUGCCUCUGGGCAAACUGUUCUGGAAAAAGUCAGUUAAAGAGGAUUCAGUCCCCACAGGUGCAGAGGAGAAUGUGGUGUGUGAAUCACCAGUAGAGGCUGUAAAGUCCGAGGAAGUAGAAUCAGCCUUACAAACAGUGGAUCUCAGCGAAGAAGGAGCGCGCACUCCUGAGCCUGCAGAAGAAACACCCGGGAGAGAGGAACGCAAAGCCUCGAGGCCCUCCCUGAUGGCGCUCCUCAGACAGAUGUCAGUGAAAGGGGAUGGAGGGAUCACCCACUCUGAAGAAAUAGAUGGGAAAGACGCCAGCUACCAAACCUCGGACCCCACGGAGAAGGUGGUCUCUCCGCCACAGCCGGAAGCGGCAGCUGCGGGCCAGAAGGGCAAAGAAGGCCCGUCCAAGGGCAAGAAGGCCGCCGCGGAGCCCAACAAGCAGAAGGGCGACAAGCAGGAAGCCAAAGAGCCGGCCCCGGGCGUGGAGCCGGCCGCCGCGGAGGCGAACUCGCUGCCGAACGGGGACAAGCCCCAGAAGAGACCCGAGAAGCGGCGGCAGUCCCUCGGGGGCUUCUUCAAGGGCCUGGGACCGAAGCGGAUGCUGGAUGCUCAAGUGCAAACAGACCCCGUGUGCAUCGGGCCAGCGGGCAAAUCCAAGUAAACAAACUUCACGGCUCCCAUCAGGUUCCGCCACCGAGAUGUCUCCUCCCGACUCCGUCUCCCCCGAAACCCUCUCCAUGUGUAUACUUUUUCUUCUGAUGGCCAUCCCAUGAAAGUCUGCCUCCGAAUUAAGCCUGAGCUGUUGUAUAUUGAGGUGUAUUAUUUACGGCUGUGGUCCAGUCUUCCCUGGUAACUAACUGUAAAGAUGGCUUAGCAGGUUAACUAGCCAGGUCUGAAGAUGGGUCCCAAGCAGGGUCGGGGAGGGGCAGAGAGGGCUGCGUUCUGGUUAAGUUAUGAAAAAUGGCCAGGGGCAAGUAAGUUGCAGAAGGGAAAAGACUGCUGGAAGGAAUUAAGCUUCGUAGUCAAGGCGUGCUCAUCCUCUCGGCUUGAAGAGGAGAGGCGAAAAUCCGUUUGUUCAAGUUCACGUUUCAAGGAGGGAGACCGUGGGCUGUGUGUUGUUGGGAGGUUGCCAGUUUUCUGGAAUGGAAUGUGUGGGGAAUGACAAAGGAAUGGAUGAGAGUUGUUUUUCAAAUAGGGUCCUUGAACGUUAUUGACGGGAGGGGAAAGAUCGACUGGAGAGGACUUGACAUGAUUUGGGAAAACAAUUGCUUUUUGAGGCUCAGUGACAAGGGCCAGGAUUACAACUUCAAAAAAAAAAAAAACCAAACACCCCAAACCAAACCAAAUAAAAGACGUUGCGAGUUUAUUUUUGCA
rnacentral:lncRNA from 1 species